UUUUAUUUUUGUGAGGUUGAUGAGAGAACCAUUCCGGCCAAGGUCGCCUGAGAAGAUGACUGGUGCUUUGCUCCGGUGAUGAGCUGGAUAGGUUCUGAGCCAUAGGAUCAAGUCAUUUUGUUUUAAUCACGAUAGGUGUGGCGCGUUGACUCUAUAUGAUGGAACACGUGUUUUGGUCCACUUGAUCUGCUACCUCAAUUAAUGAGGGAGACCAAGUGGUCCACGUUUUUUCUGAUUAAAUGAUUUUUAUUUUAUUUUUUUUUAUUUUCAUUAAUUCAUAUUAAAU
rnacentral:lncRNA from 1 species